rnacentral:rRNA from 1 species
AGUCGUAACAAGGUUUCCGUAGGUGAACCUGCGGAAGGAUCAUUACUGAGUUAGGGUCCUCUGGGCCCGAACCUCCAACCCUAUGUUUAACUACUUUGUUGCUUUGGCAGGCCCGCCUUUCGGGGCCGCCGGAGGGGUUAAGUCACCUCUGGUCAGUGCUUGUCAGUAGCCAAUCUAAAUUCUUUAUAAUUAUGAAGUCUGAAUCUUUAAUUAAAAUUUAAUUAAAACUUUCAACAACGGAUCUCUUGGUUCUGGCAUCGAUGAAGAACGCAGCGAAAUGCGAUAAGUAAUGUGAAUUGCAGAAUUCAGUGAAUCAUCGAAUCUUUGAACGCACAUUGCGCCCUUUGGUAUUCCGAAGGGCAUGCCUAUUCGAGCGUCAUUAUCAACCCUCAAGCCCGGCUUGUUAUUGGGUCCCUUAUCGUUAAAGAUAGGCCCGAAAGAUAAUGGCGGCGUCAUGAAUGACCCCAGGUGCAGCGAGCUUAUAGCAUACACUGAGGUGGUCUUUGUGGUCCGGCCCCUUUACGUUAAAGCAAUUUAACUAAAUUCAAAGGUUGACCUCGGAUUAGGUAGGAAUACCCGCUGAACUUAAGCA